GGGGUCGUGGCCAAGCCAGGCAUGGCGACUGACUCCAGAGGCAACGCGCUCGGUGACGAAACUCCAGACUGAUAUACAGAGCGGGCGGCUGAUCACCACCCGCCGUGACGACCCUCUGGAGGACCGAGGCGCACACCGGAGAUAUCAGUCGAUCGGGGGUUCAAAUCCCUCCGACCCCA
rnacentral:tRNA from 1 species